GAUGAACGCUAGCGGCAGGCCUAAUACAUGCAAGUCGAGGGGUAGAAGAGGCUUGCUUCUUUGAGACCGGCGCACGGGUGCGUAACGCGUAUGCAACCUACCUUCAUCUGGGGGAUAGCCCGGAGAAAUCCGGAUUAAUACCGCAUAAAAUCACAGGAUGGCAUUAUCCAAUGAUCAAACAUUUAUGGGAUGGAGAUGGGCAUGCGUGUCAUUAGCUAGUUGGCGGGGUAACGGCCCACCAAGGCGACGAUGACUAGGGGAUCUGAGAGGAUGGCCCCCCACACGUGUACUGAGACACAGACCAGACUCAUACGGGAGGCAGCAGUAAGGAAUAUUGGUCAAUGGAGGCAACUCUUAACCAGCCAUGCCGCGUGCAGGAAGACUGCCCUAUGGGUUGUAAACUGCUUUUAUUCGGGAAUAAACCUUAUUACGUGUAAUAAGCUGAAUGUACCGAAGGAAUAAGGAUCGGCUAACUCCGUGCCAGCCGCCGCUGUAA
rnacentral:rRNA from 1 species